UACGUAGGGUGCGAGCGUUGCUCGGAAUUACUGGGCGUAAAGCGUGCGCAGGCGGCCGCGCAAGUCGGGUGUGAAAGCCCCGAGCUUAACUUGGGAACUGCGCUCGAAACUACGUGGCUGGAGUGUGGCAGAGGAAGGUGGAAUUCCACGUGUAGCGGUGAGAUGCGUAGAGAUGUGGAGGAACACCAAUGGCGAAGGCAGCCUUCUGGGCCAACACUGACGCUCAUGCACGAAAGCGUGGGGAGCAAACAGG
rnacentral:rRNA from 1 species